GCCCUCGUAUCCCAAUUGGCAGAGGAAACGGAUUCAAAACCCGUACAGUGUGAGUUCGAGUCUCACCGAGGGCACAA
rnacentral:tRNA from 1 species